rnacentral:rRNA from 1 species
GACGAACGCUGGCGGCGUGCUUAACACAUGCAAGUCGAACGAAGCGGCGAACGGGUGAGUAAUGUGUAAUCAACCUGCCCUUCUGAGGGGGACAACAGUUGGAAACGACUGCUAAUACCGCAAACUGAAGUAGGGGAUUGCGUCGGAUUAGCUAGUCGGAGGGGUAACGGCCCACCAAGGCGAGGUUCAGUAGCCGGUCUGAGAGGAUGAACGGCCACAUUGGGACUGGGACACGGCCCAGACUCCUACGGGAAGCAGCAAUGGGGAAUCUUCCGCAAUGGGCGAAAGUCUGACGGAGCAACGCCGCGUGAGUGAUGACGGCCUUCGGGUUGUAAAGCUCUGUUAAUCGGGACGCGGUACCGGAAUAGAAAGCCACGGCUAACUACGUGCCAGCAGCCGCGGUAAUUC